GACUGCAGAACCGGCUCCCGGCUGGCCGCCCGCACCCCGCCGCCGUCGCCGCCGCUCCACGGCGCUCGCGGUCACCCAGGAACAUGGAGGCCCCGGGUGCCCAGCGGGAAGGGCAGCGUCACACCUCCUGAGGACAGCCAGGAGGACUCCGGCUUUUGCUGAACCUUGCAUCUUGCCUCCUUCCUUCCAAAGGCUCCAGACCCAAGUUCGGCUGCCCUGGAGUCCUGCGUGGCCCCUGGCCAGGCCCUCUGCUGCCCCUCCAGGCCAGCCCAGUUCUGGAGCUCACCUCCAGGACCUGGAGCCUGCCCUCCUGCCCAGAAUGACUCACCAUUAUUUCUCGCUCAAGUGAGAAGGCGUGAUGGGCAGCCAGGCUGCCUAUUUGUGUAUCUAGGAUUCCCACAGUAUCUGAUCAGCUCUGUGUGGAGGAGAGCUUCGGGUUCCUGCCUUGCCAGCCAAGCGAGGCUGUCUCUCCAGCUCUCAGAGAGCCCUCAGGGCUCUGCCACGGGAACCCAGGCCGAUGCUUCUACAUUUCCAGGGGCCGUAAGCAGCACCCUGAGCUCCCUGCCACCAGGCAGCUGGAAGGCAUAGUGUGAGG
rnacentral:lncRNA from 1 species